GAAAUUUUAUUAACAAACUUAAUCUUUGGUAUUGAUGAUUUUAAUAAAAAUCUGAAUUUUUUACAGUGUACCAAUAUACAUAUUUCUCAGACUCUGUAAAUGAAUUACAACUCCUUAAAAUCUCAGUAUUAAAUAAGCUUUUUUAUUAUUUCAUAAUUUUCUCUUAAACUUUAUAAAAUUUUAAUCAACUUGUUAUUUUCAUAUCAACAAAUGUACAAAUUAAUAUAAAUUUAAAAAAUAAAUAUAUAAUUAGGCAAAUUUAUUUGUUAUUAUUAGUAAUAAAUCAGAUGCAGCAGCUUUUUAGGUUGUCUUAUUUUUCUCUACUUUUUGUUAUAAUUUAUUUCAAAUAAAUUUAAGUUAAAUAAAAUUUUGUUUAAAAGUACUUUGGUUGUUAAUUUAUAUAGAGUACAAUUUUUGUUAUUUAAUAUUUGUAAAAUAAAAAAAUAGCUAAAGCCAUUAAGUUAUAAAAAACAAAUGCUAAAAAAUGACGAUCAUAUAAAAAAGAGUUGUGUAAAUGUUUUGAACAUUUGUAUUUACGUGAAUUUAAAUUUCUAUUGACUUUAUGUAAAUAAAAACUCUUAAUAUGUGGUAGUGUAAUAUAACUCUAAAGCCACUUUUAAGACUCCUUUUAAUUUCACAAAUUUUUCUAUCACUCUCUCCAACUACCUAUCUCCUUAUUAACUCUAUAUUUGGAUUUAUGUUAAGCUUUUGACAUGUAAAGGUUUUUUGUUAUUUAAAAGAAGCUUAAUUAAAUUAAUUUUUUAGAGUUUAAAAGUUCUCAGUUUUAAACUGCCUUGACUUGUUUUUCUGUAAGAAAAACACUUGUCUAAAAUAAAAUCUGAGAACUAGCAGGAAACAACACUGCUAAAAAGAGUUUCAAUAUAUUUUUCUUUUGUAAGAUAAAAUCGAAAAUAUUUAUUCUCUUUUUGAAUCUCUCACGUUUUAUAUUGAUCUUAGAUCUUGAUUUUUCACACUCUUUUCUAAAUGAAAACAAAUAAUUUACUGUUACUCUAUAGAUAUAAAAUGGCUCUAGUUAUUAGGUUUUCUUGCUUAACUUAGAUAUAUAUAAAUACAAUGAUAACAUAGCUAGGGUUGCCAAUAUAGUCUUGAUAAAACUUUACAGUUUUAAAAAGUUCUUUUUAUAAGAGAACACUUUCAUAAUAUUUUUAACAACUAAGAACUAAUGUUUUCAGUAUUCGAUGAAUUUUCCACAAGCCAGCUGGUAACCCUUUAAAAAACUAACAGCUUCUCUCUCAUACACUCUUCUCUAAUAAAAUUUAUAAUAAUAUUAAUAAUGACAGUUGUUUAUUAUUAGUUUCCUGUUAUUUCUCUUUAUUAUUACAAUAUUGUUAUUAGGUUUUCUCAAUUUGUUUCUCAAUCUUAACUUUUAAAACCUAAAUAUAUCUUUUAAUGCUACUUAUAACUCUCUCUUAGUAACAUAGUUAAGAAUAUUUUUAUUUUUCUCCUCUAAUAUACUUAAAAAGAACUUUA